rnacentral:ncRNA from 2 species
CUUUGAUCUACAGUUAGUGGUAUCGAGAUGAUUUAAUAGGGAAUCCCGUUAAAAUCGGGAACGGUCCCGCCGCUGUAAUCCUGUGCCUGAUAAAAUCAGGUAAUGUUACCUCGGGUACAUCCUCAAUCAAUGAGGAUUAACGUCACUGUCCCUGAAUCAGCAGGGGUGGGAAGGCUAACCAUGAGGUCGGGAGAGCCAGAAGACCUGCCACUAUUGUAUUGUUUAA